CUGAUUAGACCACUUGAGAAGGUUAUUUGCAAGGUCAUUUGCUAUAUAAACUGUAGUCUUCAAUCAGAAGUUUCAUCAGGCAUCGAAGAAUCCUGGUCCCUGAACAAAAAAGAAUGAAAUCGCACAUAAUGUGAAGGGCAAAUACAAAAAAGAUGGCAGUUAUGUGCAGAUGACAAAAGCCUUCAGCCAUGAAAUUGGUGAGAGGAUUAUGACGACAUCAUUAAUGAAUUUCAGCCGGAAGUAAGAAGAGAAAUGGGCGAAAUUUGCGUAAAAU